rnacentral:rRNA from 1 species
GAGUUUGAUCCUGGCUCAGGACGAACGCUGGCGGCGUGCCUAAUACAUGCAAGUCGAGCGAACGGAUGAGGAGCUUGCUCCUCUGAAGUUAGCGGCGGACGGGUGAGUAACACGUAGGCAACCUGCCUCAUAGACUGGGACAACUUCGGGAAACCGGAGCUAAUACCGGAUAACACUUUCCUUUGCAUGAAGGAAAAUUAAAAGUUGGCGCAAGCUAACACUAUGAGAUGGGCCUGCGGCGCAUUAGCUAGUUGGUAAGGUAACGGCUUACCAAGGCGACGAUGCGUAGCCGACCUGAGAGGGUGAUCGGCCACACUGGGACUGAGACACGGCCCAGACUCCUACGGGAGGCAGCAGUAGGGAAUCUUCCGCAAUGGACGCAAGUCUGACGGAGCAACGCCGCGUGAACGAUGAAGGCCUUCGGGUCGUAAAGUUCUGUUGUUAGGGAAGAACAAGUAUUGUUCGAAUAGGGCAGUACCUUGACGGUACCUAACCAGAAAGCCACGGCUAACUACGUGCCAGCAGCCGCGGUAAUACGUAGGUGGCAAG